rnacentral:rRNA from 1 species
CCUACGGGAGUCAGCAGUGAGGAAUAUUGGUCAAUGGACGAGAGUCUGAACCAGCCAAGUAGCGUGAAGGAUGACUGCCCUAUGGGUUGUAAACUUCUUUUAUAUGGGAGUAAAAUGUUCCACGUGUGGGAUUUUGUAUGUACCAUAUGAAUAAGGAUCGGCUAACUCCGUGCCAGCAGCCGCGGUAAUACGGAGGAUCCGAGCGUUAUCCGGAUUUAUUGGGUUUAAAGGGAGCGUAGGUGGAUUGUUAAGUCAGUUGUGAAAGUUUGCGGCUCAACCGUAAAAUUGCAUUUGAAACUGGCAGUCGUGAGUACAGUAGAGGUGUGCGGAAUUCGUGGUGUAGCGGUGAAAUGCUUAGAUAUCACGAAGAACUCCGAUUGCGAAGGCAGCUCACUGGACUGCAACUGACACUGAGGCUCGAAAGUGUGGGUAUCAAACAGGAUUAGAUACCACAGUAGUC